rnacentral:lncRNA from 12 species
AUGCAAGGGAGAUUUAUCUGCCCUAGAAUGGACAAAUUACAACCAAGAAUCCUGAGCAAGCAGGAUUCUAAAUACAAGACUCUACAGAAGAUGAGGCUGAAAAUCUGUUCACCGAAUGGGUAUCAAUGCAGUAACUCCAGCAACAUGACUUGGGAACAACGUACUAUUGCAUAUAGCAAUGGAAGGAGAACUGGAUCCCAUCUCUGUGGUCAGCUGGUUGUGUGACUUUGGAUAAGUCACUGAAUUCCACUUUCCUUAUCUGUCAACUGAGGCAGCUAUGCUAGCUGGAUCUCCCAAGUACACUUAAGGUCUCAGAUUUCCAAGGUCUCUGGGAUUGUAAAAGAUACUAGUGAUGGAUUUAAAUAUAUGUUCUCUAUUUUUUUUUGUCCCCACUAGAGAUAGAGCCUAAUUCUCACCCCUUCAGUAUGGGUUGGACUUAAGAGACAUGCUUCUAGUCAACAGAAUAUGGCAGAAGCUAUAGGAUGUCACUUUCGAUAUUAGGUUAUAAAAAGACUGAUGCUUUUGUGUUGGAUUCUGUCUCUCUCUCUUCUUAUCACUUGCUCUGAGGCAAGAGAACUACCAUGCCAGGAAGAUAUUCAGACAGCCUGUGGGUUGGCUCAAAUUGCUAGGAACUGAGGCCUGCUAACAUGCAUGUGAGUGAGCUUAGAAACUGGUCAUGUUCCAGCCAAGCCUUGAAGUGAGAUUGUCCAAUCAAAAGGACAGAUUGACUAUGACCUCAUGACAGACCAAAAAUCAUAACCAUGCAGUUAAGCUAUUCCUAGAUUUCCAACUUACAAAAACUUAAGAUAAAUUGUGUGUGUGUGUGUGUGUGUGUGUGUGUGUGUGUGUUUUAAGCUGCUAAAUUUGGGGAAGUUUGUUGCACAGUCACAGCUAGCUAACACAAUACUCCUGGAAUAUGAAAGAUAAGCCAAAUGAACUAAAAAACAUAUUGACUGCAAGCAGGACAGCAAAAAACCAUCCUUUCCAAUUUGCAUGGGCACUUCCAGGAAGCAUCAGUGGAAAGCAGAACCACCUAUUGUAAUAAGUAACAAUAACUGAGCACUUCUGUGUAUGAGGCACCAUUCCAAGCACUUUGUAUGUCUUAACUCAUUUAAUCCUCACAGUGACUUAUGAGAUGAGCAGUACUAAUACUUCCAUUUCACAGACAAGAAACAAGCACAGAACAGUUAAGUAAUUUGUCCAGGAUUAUCCAGGUUGUUAAAGA